rnacentral:sRNA from 1 species
CAGGACGGACUAGAGGCGAGCAAUCCCGGUGGCACCAGGCGUUCCCCGACCCGCACGGGUCGCCAGCUGCACGGACCCUGGACAGAAGCGCGCGGCGGCUGCGGCACAGGGCGGGGAGCGGCUGCUCGGCCCCAUCCUAAGGCAGCAGAAUGCCCAGAGCUGGUCCCUGGCUCCGGGCGCAGGCCGAGUAGGAGCUGGGCGGACAGCGGCGUCGGGCAGGCCCUUCCAGCCGGGCGGACAGCCCGCUCUGACCCAGCCAUCCGACUCCGCUUGCGUCCUGGCAGCGCGGACCCUCGGCAACUUUGCUGCGGUGGCCAGGCCGGGGGGCGGAGCCCGCACCCCUGAACCGAGCAAGCCUAGGAGCAGGUGCGCCGGCGGCGCUGUGAAGCGGCACUCAGGACAGGCAGGCUGGGCGUGGCCACCCCGAAACCUCCGAGGGACGACCAGCCAGCCCAGGCUGGCGCUGGAGCUGCAGCGCCACCUGCAGGCCAAGGAGUCUUUUUCUGGGAGGCUGGAACUGCAGAUGCAGUGAAGGCACAGGUUCAGUGACGUCACAGCAUUCAGCAACUAGUUCCUGAAUAUAAGGAAAAACAGACACCUAAAAAUCUUCCUCAAAAUAACAAUCCAGAAUACAAACAUUUAAAAAUACUGUUGGGGCCAGCCACAGUGGUGCAUGCCUGUAAUCUCAGCACUUUGGGAGGCUGAGAUGGGAGGAUCACUUGAGCCCAGAAGUUCGAGACCAGCCCAGGCAACAUGACAAGACCUCAUCUCUACUAAAUUUUUUAAAAAAUAAUAAAACAUUAGCUGGGCAUGGUGCCAGGUGCCUGUACUUCCAG